rnacentral:sRNA from 1 species
GCGAACCUGAAGCUGUCUGUUACAGGUUGUGAGAGCUUGGUUGAAGAGGACAACCUUCCCCGAAUAGAGGACUGGUCUUCGGUCAAGGGUAUACGAGGAGAUGCACUUCCUUGCUAGAACUUCCAAACAAGCUCUCAAGGUGUGUGGAACUGAGGAGUGCAUU